AGAUAAGGGCAAAACAACAAAUAGAACUAGAGUCCAAUAUCUCUGGUGAACACAGAUCCAAAAAUCCUUAACAAAAUAUUAGCAAACCAGUUCCAACAAUAUAUUAAAAAAUAAUUCACCA